rnacentral:rRNA from 1 species
UGGGGAAUAUUGCACAAUGGGCGCAAGCCUGAUGCAGCCAUGCCGCGUGUAUGAAGAAGGCCUUCGGGUUGUAAAGUACUUUCAGCGGGGAGGAAGGCGAUAAGGUUAAUAACCUUGUCGAUUGACGUUACCCGCAGAAGAAGCACCGGCUAACUCCGUGCCAGCAGCCGCGGUAAUACGGAGGGUGCAAGCGUUAAUCGGAAUUACUGGGCGUAAAGCGCACGCAGGCGGUCUGUCAAGUCGGAUGUGAAAUCCCCGGGCUCAACCUGGGAACUGCAUUCGAAACUGGCAGGCUAGAGUCUUGUAGAGGGGGGUAGAAUUCCAGGUGUAGCGGUGAAAUGCGUAGAGAUCUGGAGGAAUACCGGUGGCGAAGGCGGCCCCCUGGACAAAGACUGACGCUCAGGUGCGAAAGCGUGGGGAGCAAGCA